UAAACAGUUUUUUUAGACAAUGUUUUUCUUUUUCUGUGUUCAUUAUUUGUGAAAUGUGUCACAAAUAAUGGAGUUGGAGUAGUCCCUUAUUUCUCUGUUCCUUCAAUACAUUGGGUAAAAUAUUUACCUACCUUCCAAAAAUGCUCUGAAAUUAAAAGGUCAUUUAAAAAAGCUUAGAUAUCCUUGGUGAGUUGUGCUAUAUAACAAGCAUCUGACAGCCUUGAUGAGCAAAACUAUUUAUCCACAGAACACAUACAAAGGAAGACUGUUUCACCCUAAAUACCUCAAAGUUUAUUAAUUUGAUUUGGAGCAGCCACGUCUAGAAACGAGAUGGCUGCUGAGGCGCCACGUCCUUGACCUUUUCACUGAAACUUCCAAUAAAGGCAUGAAACUGAGCCUAAUGUUUUGUGGUAUGGACUUUGUCCACGAAGACUUAUACCGACAACUCUCAUCAUUUGCGAAUCUUUUGGGUGCAGGUUUGAACUAGUGGUUAAAGAGAGGACCAUUCAAAUAAUUAUUUUUAUGCUUAACAUAUCUGAACUUUCAAGAGAGUAAAAACCUGAAGCAUGUUUCUUAGGAUUACUUUUGCUCAAUAACUGACAUAUUCAACUAAACAAAAGUAAUAAAAUGCAUUUUGUUGCCCUCUAUACAUUCAUCCUCAAAUGGUCUGCGUUGCGAAAGAACUACAGAAGAACUGCAAAUGUAACUUGCCAACAAUAGGAGUUUUUUCUGUACUGUAUGAGCUGCCUUAGGACUUCACUGGCAUCUUGGAAAAUCAUGAGUUGAUUGACAGCUGUUACCACCAUCAGAUGUAUCAUUAUUUAUGUGCCCAGACUCAAUUGUGAUAGAGUCCAAAAGCCCAAGUCAGGCCCAUAGUGCUGGCCACUAUACAAACACAGAUGAAAGGAUGCUCUCCACCCCUCAGAGAUUACAACCUAUAGGACUCAACUGCUACUACCAUUUAAUGCUACAGCUUAUGAAAGGACUGCUUUUUCCUGGGCACCCACAAGACAAGAAAACACCAGGGAUAUGCCUUAAAUUGGUUUUACAAUUUUAUAAAUAAACAAAUCUAAGAACUGUCUGGCACUAGUUUGUCUAAUUCAGGUCAUCCUGCCUUAGUAUUCUAUUCCAUCUGUUCCCAGUAAUCUGAUUUCAGCAUCACUGGUGGGAUUCUGCCUUUGUAUGAGGACUAAGAUAUGGUGAAGAGGGUGCUGUUUCCUCACUGUCCCAGACAUUAGGAACCCCAACCUCACUUUAUUUCAAUGCCUUCUUCUAAUUUGUUUCCAAUUACGAUUUAUCAAGGAACUGGAGAUCCUAACUGAAUGAUUACUUGCAUGGGGCAUGUGACAACUUGUAAUGAAAUUAAUUUUAUAAUCGAACCCACCCACCUGGUCUCCAAGCUGCUGAGAGGAAGGUGAAAAACCCUCACCUUACCCAGGCCAAUGUGGUAGUAAGGGAAAAAUUCCUUCUCAGCCUCCAAAAAGAGACUAGCACCCAAAGCAAAACCCAGAAACGUAGCCUACUCUAAUCCUAAUAGGAGGGAGAGGGGAAGUUUUACUUCUAGUGCAGACUGGUGCCCCAGGACAGGGGGAAAGGCUUUUAAACCCUCUACUGAGGUACAUGGGUGUGAAUAGAUUUAUCCUGCACUCAUCUGCCAAACCAGUUAAAUCAACAGAACCCCCAUCCUUUAGACCACAAGGACGGAGGGUUAUGUGGAAUCCUUAAAAGGGUCAAGGGUUUUCUUUCUCCUGCUGGCCCAGACUAAGCUGCUCCACCUCUGAGGCUGUAGGGGGAAGCAUUUAUGGAGUCCAAGAUUACCAAGCUGCUUAGGAUCAUAUGAAUUUUUCCCCGAUCCAUAGCACAGAAUAUUAGUGCUAGUAGUUACACUGCUUAUAGGAGAGCCUCUUUCAGCUUAAUAUUAGAACUACUUGGACAAGGAGGUUAUUUACCUGUAAAUGGAGGUUCUUUGAGAUUUGUAGUUCCUGUCUGUAGGCCACUUAGGAUUUUAUGCACAUGUACCCUAUGUCUGGAGUUGGAGAGUUUAAAAGUCCAUGCAUACUUCUUGACUCAACUCAUGUUUUCAUCCAACAUAAAGGCUGGGACAGACUGUAUCUCCAAUUCCUUCACCACUACAAAUCCAACAGAUUUGCAGCAGAAUGGAGGAGUGCAGGAAACAGAAUACAGAUAGAAGAAUCUCUAGUUACAUCUUGAGGAACCUCUCAUUGCAUAAAGACUACUGCUUGAAGAAACCUUAUUUUGAAAGAUGUAUUGUGGACUUCUAGAUUGUAGGGUCCAGAAAACACAUAAAAGCAAAGACCAUGUGGUAUCCAGAGAAGUUACAACAACUGAUGCACUGGCCUCCCUUGCCCACAAAACUGAUAAGGAGGAAGUAGAGUGAUCCUUAAUUAACUCAUGAACAGACAUUUGUUUAGCCACAUAGGUCUUCAAAAUGCACUCUGAAAUCCACCUAGAUGAAGAACACAGCUUUUGGCAGCUUGUAUCUUUCGAGUAAAACAAUGUCAAUCAGAGACAAUAGUGUCAAAGUAAAUUUUAUUUUCCUCUUAAAAUCUGUUUUAAGUAGGCUUCUGACCAUACAGUGAGUUAACAUGCUAUCUUCUCAUUUAGGCGGAAAGAAACAACUUUGUGGAAAAAUGAAGGAAUUGUGUGUUUACAUUUUCUAAGGACAAGUUAGGACUGUAAAGAACAGAGCACCACAUAAUUUGAACAUUAUGAUGUAGAGCAAAAAAUCUAGCCUUCAUGAAAAUGAAAUAUUCUGAGACUUCUAAAAAGUUAAUUUAGAGCAGUUAGCCCCACCAAGAAUGUAAUUAUAUAUGGAUGGGAAACCAUCAGUAUUCAUGACAUCUCAGAUUCUAAGUCUGGACUUCAGGAAACUUUAUGGCAGUCUAUUAGUCUGCUAUUCAGGUCAGAGUUCUAGAAUACUGGCAGGUGAAGCACCAAGAAAAUUAACUUUUUGCAUAUUAUCCUAUGCAGAGAACACACAUCAUAUUCUCUAGUAAGAUGAAGUUGCAUUUUUAUCUUUGAGGAUAUUACGUGAUCCUGGAGAAUCUCUCUUCGUUUAUAAUAUUUAGCAGUUAUGUCUUGAGUUAAAUCAAUACUGGGCUGGGAUAGCACAAUAGGACCUGAAGACUGUGUCCUAGUAAGAGAGUGAACAGAAUCAUUAUCCAGAUGAACACUGAAUUUCAAGACCUACAUAGCCAGUGAAGAAAUAACAAUGUUUACCUUCCAUCCACUUUACUUUUUGUAAUGCCACUAGUUCAAUCUUGGAGAAAAUAUAUAAAUUAAGUGAAAACUCACUUAAAGGACUCAAUGCUUCUUUUCUGUUAUACUUUUACCCCAUAUACUCACUGAAAGACCUGGGGGCUUCACAGUCAAGACAUACUGGCUUAGAUCACAUUAAAAUAUCAAUACUGAGAUCAAAUUCAGAAUUAUGGAUUCCCUGUAAUGUCCAUGAUACUAGAGCACAGAUGAUCUAAUUUUUAAUCAAAGCGUUUCAUGACAGUUGGAAGUAUCAUAUAACCUACCACUAAGAAAAUACAGGGGGACUGGAUGCUCUGGAAGACUAUGAUGAGUGACAUAGAUCAAAUUAGAGUGUGACCUAGAAGUACAAAAUGAAGUCAAAUCAGAUCAGUAACUGAAGGUUAUUACCACCUGAAGACUGUUCAGUGACAUAUGAUGAAGGGCCAGAAGACUGCUUCAUUUAGGCUUUGUCUGCAUUAAACAGUUUUUAGCAUCAUGUGUCAAUACAAAGGUAGUCUGUCCAUUCUCCUGUUGACAAAUACCCAUGCCCCAAAAUUAUCUUAUUUUGCUUGUUUCAGCAAAGAAUGCAAAGUUUCAAUUGAUGGGGAGACUUAUGCUCUCUCAAUUAAAGGGAGGCCCUUCCAGAUUAGUCAGUUCUAAGGCACAUUAGCAAUGAUAUGAGGAAGCUACACAAUAAUCCAUUGUGUAGCUUCCUCAUAUCACAUUGCCACAGGUGGCUCCGCUGAAAACAUACAUCACAGAAAUUCAUUUCAGAUUCAUGUCCAAAGAAUGGACACUCCUAAUGUUGAACGUCUUUCCAAGAAAAAGGCAGAGCCUACAAGGAUGUGUUUACAUCAACGUAAUCAUCAACUUGUUAUUUUCCAGUUGGCUCCUCUCUCAUAUUGUAACCAUGUAAAUAUGUUCCUAUCAUAUUGAUGGACAUCUUACUCUAUAAAAGUAGCCUGCUGGUCACAAAGUAUGAUGAUCGAUAUGUCUUCACUAUGCAGAGAAAAUUCCAUUUUUAAUUAGCCACUGUAGCUGCUUCAAAGGAAUAACUCCAUUUGCUCAAGUCUCACAUUUGACCACUAGAACCAAUAGAAAAAAUUGUAGGUCUGUGAGAAUUAGGGUGACUGGAGACUGGUAACUCCUGUGAAAGGUUUCCUAUGAAUUCAGAACACAAUAUACUUUUUUCUGAAGGGAACACAUUUCAUUCAAUCAUACAUUUAAUUUGGACCCAGUGCGAAAUGAUCUAUGACUUCUAUGUCAAAGAUUUUGUUGUGGGUCCUUAAUGGUCAGAAUCUUAAUCAACUCUGGUGACUUGAAAACCUAAUAAAUUGCAUAAUUCUUGAAACUUUUUUUAAUUAUCUCCAGUACGCAUUUGUCCAAUGUCCUUGCAAACUUUUAUGAUAAUGACCCUUUGUCAUUUGUGUGAAAGGAUGAAUUAGCUGGAUACGGUGCCUCCAAAUAAAGCAAAAGGAACUCUAGAUUAAGAAGUAGAAGAUUUUGUGAGACUGAAACCAUAGUCUGAUCCCAAAUACCUAGAAACCAAGUUUACUGUCUUGACCAGUAGAAUUACAGAACCGUUUUUAAAUAAUCCUGUACAGUGGUAAAAAGUUAUUUUUGGUAUAGCUUCAAGGCCUUACUAAAGUAUAAAAGGUAAAGUAAACAUGCACAUUCAUGUGGAAAUCAAGAAAAAAUAAAUCUGAAGAACUUAUAUGUAUAUACGUACAGAUAUGUUGGAGAAAUUAUUGCAAAAAUAUGGAUCCACAUGUAAACAGAGGGGCUUUUGAACCACAGCUUGUCUAUAUGGGAAAGUUUACUGGCAGAACUACACCAGUAUAAUUAGAUGGCUGUAUUUAUUGAUACUUAGCAUAGUUUACACCAUUACAGUUAUAACAAUUUACCAUAUACCACUUUCACAGUAAUAAAGUAAACUGGAAAAAGGCAUUCUUAUUCCAGAAUAAGAAUGUACACCUGAGGGGUUAUAUUGGUAUAAUUAUAGCAGUAUAACUGUAACAACAUAGUUCUGUCAGUAAAUUUCCCUAUGUAGACAAGCAUGAAGUGUAUAUGGUACCUAGUUUCUGCUGUUCCCCUGCGGACCUAUGAAUGUUAGUGUGCACCUAGCAUCUGCAGCAAUUCUUCUACUGCAAAUUAUUAAGGUCUACUGAAGGCCACUACAGGCCAGGAACAUGAGCUAACAAUUCUUCAGAAACUUUGGCUGAAAAGUCAGUACAUAUAUAGCAUGCUACAUCUGAGGAGAAAAAUAAUUUUUAACUGUAUACAUGAAGCAGAGUUAGCGUGUUGAACUCAAACUGCAACUUUCUAUUUCAAAAUAGUAUCUGUGACUGCAAAACAGUUGAAACUACUGAUAUGCUGCUGCUAAUUCCCUGUUUUUCCAUUAAGACUCCAGUCCCCAUAAUUCUCACAAAAGAUUCCUGACAGAUGAAGAGUGAUGAAUGAAACUUUUUUCAAGUUUCGAAAGAGAACUUAUUUACGGUACAUACAACUAGAACAAAUAGAGGUUAUUGUUCGGUACUGACAGCACAAUAAAUUUUGAAUAUGCUGGUAGAUAAACUGCUCCCAGGAGAUUAAAGUCUCCUUCUAACACACUUUAGACCUGUAUAUCACAGUGGAUGACAUAAGGUUGAAAGACUAUUUCUUGCAGCAUUCAUUCCUCCAAAGUUUUGUAAAAAAAGUAUGAUUAGGAAAGAUUUCUGGAGGAGGAAAAAGAUGUUUGUCAGAUGUGAGGAACGUUGUUCCAAGAAUAAGGAACAGGAUGGAAGAGGGCAUGAAGAUGACAGGAGAAAGAUUAGGAGUCUCUUAAGUAGCAAGACUCAGGAAGAAUUGUACAAUACGAUUUAAUACUCUCUCUACAUAUAUGUGGAGUAAAGUUUUAUAGGGCUUUGGAACGUGAAGAAGGGGAGAAGCAGAUUGAAUUUGCAACUGAUGCUGAGAGGAUGCCAGCAAAAGGCUAGCUGUGACAAAAGAUGACCAAGAGAUAGAGGAAGAUUUUUCACAAUAGGGAUGAAAAAGAAAGGAGAGAUUUUAGAGAAGCUUCAAAACAGCCACAAACAGGAUUUAAAAGCAACAGUAGCAUAGGAGGUGGAAUAAUAAAUGAUGUCACAGAAGCUUAUGGUGAUAGAAAAGGGAAGGGCAAAAGAACCGCUAGGAGAAUUUUUUUUUCAGGUGGAGCUUGGUAUAAUGGUAGGACAUCCAGGAGAAGACAUCUGAAGGAGUCAGACGUGUAAAAGCAGCAGCACUGUGAUGGCAGCUGAAACAAAAAGAGCGGAUAAAGUCAUCUCAUGACAGAAGAGGCAAAGGAAAGAAUUAAAACUAGAAGCUCAAGAAAUAUCACUGAGAAAGGGCAAUAAAAGGAGAUGCAGAAGAAGCUGCUGAAAAGGGGAAAAACCAAGAUAGCACAAAAGAUAUUAAAAAUAUAUAGAGGCAAAAAGCUAAUGGAGUAGAAGGAAAUAAUCAUAUUAGUCAUAAGCAAUGGCUCAGAAGGAUCUCAGACGCAUCCAGAAGUGACUGAAGAUUGUUGGUGUCCUUAGAGAGGUUUCAGUGGAGCGUACAGAAGACAGAUUGCAACAGAUCCAUUCAAGGCAUUAGAGGACAGGAAGUUGAGGACACACUUUAAGAAGGCAUAGAGGUAGGUGAAGGGUAACUGUUUCCCUGUUGUAGAAAACUCAUGAAACCACAUGAAAUCCUUGGCACCAAUCCCCUACCCCUGGCAAUGAAGUCAUCAGAAAACUGACUGGGUCUUCAUCUGUGCAGGCUGAAUAUCGCAUAACCCUAUUGUCUGGAACAAUAUGGAAGGUAGCUAGAGGAAAUAAAAUUCACAGAAAAAUGUAAACAAUCUGUCAGUGACUAUAUAUAUGUAUGUAUAUAUAUUUAUCUAUCAAGAAACAGACUCUUUAUACAAUACCCAUACGACAGCAUUAUAAUUUAUAAAUAAUUCACAGGUUAUAACUCAUGUGACAACAUUAUGUUGUAGGAAAGCAUAGGUUUUACAACACCUACACACAAGAGAGCAUCAUUAAAGUUGCUAUAGUUAAUCCUUAGAAUCACAGAAUACUGGGACUGGAAGGGACCUCAAGAGGUCAUC